UACGUAGGGACCAAGCGUUGUUCGGAUUUACUGGGCGUAAAGGGCGCGUAGGCGGCGAUGUAAGUCACUUGUGAAAUCUCUGAGCUUAACUCAGAACGGCCAAGUGAUACUGCAUUGCUAGAGUGCAGAAAGGGCAAUCGGAAUUCUUGGUGUAGCGGUGAAAUGCGUAGAUAUCAAGAGGAACACCUGAGGUGAAGACGGGUUGCUGGGCUGACACUGACGCUGAGGCGCGAAAGCCAGGGGAGCAAACGGG
rnacentral:rRNA from 1 species